rnacentral:rRNA from 1 species
GAUUCUGGCUCAGAACGAACGCUGGUGGCGUGUCUUAUACAUGCAGGUCGAGCGAGGCAGCAAUGCCGAGCGGCGAACGGGUGAGUAACGCGUAAGCAAUCUGCCCCAUAUCAGGAAAUACCCGUGCCAACGCGCGGUUAAUGUCCAGGAGAGUGGCCCUCUGCAUGGAGGGUUGACUAGAGAUUUAUCGGUAUGGGAUGAGCUUGCGUCCGAUUAGCUAGUUGGCGGGGCAACGGCCCACCAAGGCGACGAUCGGUAGCCGGCCUGAGAGGGUGAUCGGCCACAUUGGGACUGAGAUACGGCCCAGACUCCUACGGGAGGCAGCAGUAGGGAAUAUUGCACAAUGGGGGAAACCCUGAUGCAGCAACGCCACGUGUGGGAAGAAGCAUUUCGGUGUGUAAACCACUGUCAUGAGGGAAUAAGGCCCGCCUUCGGACGGGAUUGAAUGUACCUUGAGAGGAAGCACCGGCAAACUUCGUGCCAGCCGCAGC